ACGUAGGAGGCAAACGUUAUCCGGAUUUACUGGGCAUAAAGCGCGUGUAGGUGGUUCUGUAAGUAGGGCGUGAAAGCUCCUGGCUCAACUGGGAGAGGCCGUUCUAAACUGCAGAGCUAGAGGAUGGUAGAGGGAGGUGGAAUUCCGGGUGUAGCGGUGAAAUGCGCAGAUAUCCGGAGGAACACCAGUGGCGAAAGCGGCUUCCUGGCCAAUACCUGACACUGAGACGCGAAAGCUAGGGGAGCAAACGG
rnacentral:rRNA from 1 species